rnacentral:rRNA from 1 species
CGGGGUGCAGCAGGCGCGAAACCUCUGCAAUAGGCGAAAGCCUGACAGGGUUACUCUGAGUGAUUCCCGCUAAGGGGAUCUUUUGGCACCUCUAAAAAUGGUGCAGAAUAAGGGGUGGGCAAGCCUGGUGUCAGCCGCCGCGGUAAUACCAGCACCCCGAGUGGUCGGGACGAUUAUUGGGCCUAAAGCAUCCGUAGCCGGCCACGCAAGUCCUCCGUUAAAUCCACCCGCUCAACGGUUGGGCUGCGGAGGAUACUACGUGGCUAGGAGGCGGGAGAGGCAAGCGGUACUCAAUGGGUAGGGGUAAAAUCCUUUGAUCCAUUGAAGACCACCAGUGGCGAAGGCGGCUUGCCAGAACGCGCUCGACGGUGAGGGAUGAAAGCUGGGGGAGCAAACCGGAUUAGAUACCCGGGUAGUCCCAGCUGUAAACGAUGCAGACUCGGUGAUGGGAUGGCCUCGAGCCAUCCCAGUGCCGCAGGGAAGCCGUUAAGUCUGCCGCCUGGGGAGUACGGUCGCAAGACUGAAACUUAAAGGAAUUG